rnacentral:rRNA from 1 species
AUUGAACGCUGGCGGAAUGCUUUACACAUGCAAGUCGAACGGUAGAGGGGGCAACCCCUCGAGAGUGGCGAACGGGUGAGUAAUAUAUCGGAACGUGCCCAGUCGUGGGGGAUAACGUAGCGAAAGUUACGCUAAUACCGCAUACGAUCUAAGGAUGAAAGCGGGGGAUCGCAAGAGCUCGCGCGAUUGGAGCGGCCGAUAUCAGAUUAGGUAGUUGGUGGGGUAAAGGCUCACCAAGCCAAAGAUCCGUAGCUGGGCUGAGAGGACGACCAGCCACACUGGAACUGAGACACGGUCCAGACACCUACGGGAGGCAGCAGUGGGGAAUUUUGGGCAAUGGGCGAAAGCCUGAUCCAGCCAUUCCGCGUGCAGGAUGAAGGCCCUCGGGUUGGAAACUGCUUUUGUACAGAACGAAAAGGUUUCUACUAAUACUAGGAGCUCAUGACGGUACUGUAAGAAUAAGCACCGGCUAACUACGUGCCAGCCGCCGCGGUAA